rnacentral:rRNA from 1 species
GUCCAUGCCGUAAACGUUGGGCACUAGGUGUGGGGGACAUUCCACGUUUUCCGCGCCGUAGCUAACGCAUUAAGUGCCCCGCCUGGGGAGUACGGCCGCAAGGCUAAAACUCAAAGGAAUUGACGGGGGCCCGCACAAGCGGCGGAGCAUGCGGAUUAAUUCGAUGCAACGCGAAGAACCUUACCAAGGCUUGACAUGGACUGGAAAUACCUGGAGACGGGUGCCCCGCUUGCGGUCGGUUCACAGGUGGUGCAUGGUUGUCGU